CCUAAGGUAGCGAAAUUCCUUGUCGGGUAAGUUCCGACCCGCACGAAAGGCGUAACGAUUUGGGCACUGUCUCAACGAGGGACCCGGUGAAAUUGAAAUACCUGUGAAGAUGCAGGUUACCCGCGACUGGACAGAAAGACCCCAUGGAGCUUUACUGUAACCUGACAUUGGGUUUUGAUACAUUACGUACAGGAUAGGUGGGAGGCUUGGAAAGCUGGACGCUAGUCUGGCUGGAGCCGACGUUGGGAUACCACCCUUGAUGUAUUGAAAUUCUAACCGCGAGAGUAACGAAAUCCGGGACAGUGUCAGGCGGGCAGUUUGACUGGGGCGGUCGCCUCCGAAAGAGUAACGGAGGCGCCCAAAGGUUCCCUCAGCGCGGCCGGAAAUCGCGCGAAGAGUGUAAAGGCAGAAGGGAGCUUGACUGCGAGUCAAACACGACGAGCAGGUACGAAAGUAGGGCUUAGUGAUCCGGUGGUACCGAGUGGAAGGGCCAUCGCUCAACGGAUAAAAGCUACCCUGGGGAUAACAGGCUAAUCUCUCCCAAGAGUCCAUAUCGACGGGGAGGUUUGGCACCUCGAUGUCGGCUCAUCACAUCCUGGGGCUGAAGUCGGUCCCAAGGGUUGGGCUGUUCGCCCAUUAAAGUGGUACGUGAGCUGGGUUCAGAACGUCGUGAGACAGUUCGGUCCCUAUCCAUCGCGGGCGCAAGAGAUUUGAAGGGGGCUGCUCCUAGUACGAGAGGACCGGAGUGGACGAACCGCUGGUGUACCAAUUAUCCCGCCAGGGGUACAGUUGGGUAGCUACGUUCGGAAAGGAUAAACGCUGAAAGCAUCUAAGCGUGAAACCAGCCUUAAGAUGAGAUCUCUCAUAGAGCAAUCUAGUAAGACACCUUAAAGAAGAUGAGGUUGAUAGGUCGGGAGUGUAAGUACAGCAAUGUAUUGAGCGGACCGAUACUAAUAUGUCGAGGGCUUGACUUA
rnacentral:rRNA from 1 species